AGAGAAAAAGUGUGGAAAAUCAAGGAAAACAAGUGAAAAAGGUGGUGAGUCCUCCGACAAAGGCAAGGAAAUUGCACUCGAGGAUCGAUAAUCGGAGUACUUUAGAAAUUUGACUCCCGAAAUAGCUCAGAGUAGGUUGUAUAUAGCUGAUUCCAUUGAGGGCUUCCCUUGGAUUUGCGUCCUCCAAACUGUAGGAUUACAGUUUUCCUUACUUCUAGUUAUUCAUGGGCCCACUUGAUAUUGUAAAUUAUAUUAAUUUAAAUACUCUGGUUUACUGUGUCACAGUGUGAAUGAAUAAAUUUAUUUGGCUUUUACAUUGCC